GACGAACGCUGGCGGCGUGCUUAACACAUGCAAGUCGAACGGUAAGGCCCCAGCUUGCUGGGGUACACGAGUGGCGAACGGGUGAGUAACACGUGGGUGACCUGCCCCGCACUUCGGGAUAAGCCUGGGAAACUGGGUCUAAUACCGGAUAGGACCGCACCGUGGGGGUGGGGUGGAAAGUUUUUCGGUGUGGGAUGGGCCCGCGGCCUAUCAGCUUGUUGGUGGGGUAAUGGCCUACCAAGGCGGCGACGGGUAGCCGGCCUGAGAGGGUGGACGGCCACAUUGGGACUGAGACACGGCCCAGACUCCUACGGGAGGCAGCAGUGGGGAAUAUUGCACAAUGGGCGGAAGCCUGAUGCAGCGACGCCGCGUGGGGGAUGACGGCCUUCGGGUUGUAAACUCCUUUCACCAUCGACGAAGGUUUUCUGACGGUAGACGGAGAAGAAGCACCGGCUAACUACGUG
rnacentral:rRNA from 1 species